rnacentral:lncRNA from 1 species
GGCAAUCUUCUUCCUUUAUUAUCAUCAAUAUUCCUUCUCAAGAUGGAGGGGAUCGAUGUGAGUCCCAUCUUGACAAGAAGACGAUGGUACGAUGGGCCAGAAAGAGACUUUGUGAAUAUGUCAAUUAGUUCAUCCUUGGAGGAAAGAUAAUAAAAAGAAAUGAGCCCUAAAAGAAAUUAUUGACGAAUAAAGUGACAGUCUAGUUUCACACAUUUUGUUCAUUCAUGGAAUAUGGGAUUUUGAGCGAUAUGGAUUGUUGUUUGACUGUAGGAAAGAACGAGUAUUGGUAACGUCGGUGGAACUGACAAAUCCAUCAGCAAACUAGUCAACCAAGUGAGUUCCAUCACUAAUCACCGCAUCGAUUGAUAUUCUGCCUCAGCGGAUGAAAAGAGACGGAUGCUUGUUUCUUGGAUUUCCAAGAAAUGGAAGAACCCCACUGUAAUGACCCUACAUUUCAUUUUUUCUAUUUUCAUUUAUUUUUGUUGUUAGAGCUUUCCCAUAUCCACUCUAAGUCAUUUAUGACUUGUUGGGAAUGAUAGUCCAUUUAUCGAGCUGUUCAUUUGAUUUUUAGAGUCAAUUCCCUAUUUAAAAUCUUUACUGGUUCCAAAUUUACACCAGAAAAAACUUUAGUAAAAUAAUCUUGGAUAUAAAUUUUAAUUGUGCCAGCAAUUCUGAAAUAUUGAUUUUAGGUUAGGUAGACCUUUGGUUUGGGCCUCGGGGCACCCAAUCUCAUUUUGACCUAUUAGUUAAAAAAUUGGACAAUUGAAAAUUCGAGUGUGGGAUUCAUAUUUGAUCGAAACAACCUCAGAUUAAAAAUUCAAAUUUGUCAUUGCAUCAGGAAUAUUGAAUUUAGUGUGAUUACAUAGUUCUUUUACAUAUAUAGGAUUUCAAAUGAGUCCCGAGGCCUUAGCAAAAACUUGAAAAUUCUAAGUUUCAGCUUUCAACUGAUAUCUGGUGCCAUGGCAAUCGCACCCCCUAGGUUUCUAAUUAUAUUUCAAUAUGCAUAGGGGGUAUUACGAUCGCACAAGAGUAUGUUGCGAUCGUAACAUAUGUUUUUUACACCAUAUGGUACGAUUAUGGUCUGCAUGUUGUGAUUGCAACAUCUGAUUACUUGGUAUGGGCAUAAAUAGAUCCCAAUCUCGUGAAUUUGCUCAUUUCCACUUCUUCCAUUGAGAGAAAAACCCUAAAAAGGUAAGAUAUAUUUAAAUUGAGUCUUAUGGGUGACUUGGAAACUUGAUUAACAUCUAUUAUCGCGAAUAUCUUCGGAUUUGAGGUAACAUUUCAUCCCUUUCUUGGUGAAAUUAUUGGUUCUUGAUCCAAAACCCCAAAUAGCUUGAGGGGUUGAUUUUAUCCCCAAAUUAGCUUAGUUUUCACCUAUUUCUUGAAGGUUAUGAUUCUUUGAUCAUGUAUGAAAGUUGGGCUAACCUCGUAAAUGUGAUUUUUGUAAGUGGGACCCAUUUGGUAUUUUUGGUGUCAUUUUUGGACCUGAAGUACAAUGGUACAAUAUGGAUAUCAUUAUUCUCAUAUUGAUGAGUAGAUUAAGAUUUUUUACCGUAAUGGCAUUUUAGGAUUAUGAAGUAGAGAUGGAUGUUUCGUGAAUGGUGUAAGGAUUUGCAGUUCAACUUUGAGGUAGGCUUCUAUCUACUCUUCUUUGUAAGAUGAUGCAUGUUAUGUAUUGCGUGUGAAUGUGAAUGUUAAGUUUGAUUAUAGGUAGAAUGACUUAGUAUUAAAUAUUAAAGUUUGAGGAUAAGAUGAGGGUUUUGACCCAUAAGUUGAAAUAUUUUAUCCCUUUUAGAAUCAUAUUGCCUCCUUCUUAGAUUGAACUAAUUCAUAGAAUGAAUAUGAUAUGAUGCUAGGGAUGUGGUUUAAGCAUUGGAAGCAUGGUUAGUAUAGUUAACCUUAUUUGGGCUAUUGUGGUGAUAUUAAAAUAUUAGUUUAGGUAGAGUUGAAUUAAAUGCCCAUAUUUCUAGAUAAAGUUCCUAUCUUAGGAUUGGAUAUGGCUUACUUGACAUCUAGAAGUUGAACUAGAUACCUUAGCCUAGUUGGGGUGUAAAUUUCUUAAAUAUGUAAAUUAAGGAUCAGAAGUGUGUUCCUCAAACCCACCUUAGGCUAAGACUUAUCUUAGCCCUUGUGGACUUAAUUGUGGAUGUUAUGCAUAGUUGAGACUAUUGAGCCUUUAGAACAAGUUUACUUCAUGGCUUGGUAAAUUAUGAUGAGUUUUCCCGAAUUAUGACUUAAUGGCUUGUGGCUAUGCUAUGGCAUUCUGGACUUGACUUAUUGUGUAGUCCAUUGACAUGCUUGAUAAUAUAGACAUGGGCAUAGUCAUGAUAAUUGGCCUAUAGAGAUGAUAUUCCUCUUAGGUGUGAUAUUUGGCCUAUAGAGAUGAUAUUUCUCUUAGAUAUUUGUCCUAUAGCGAUGAUAUUCCUCUUAUAUUUGAUAUUUGGCCUAUAGAGAUGAUAUUCCUCUUAGAUGUAUAUUUAAUCUAUAGAGAUAAUAUUCCCCUUAGAAGUGAUAUUUGGCCUAUAGAGAUGAUAUUCUCCAUAGAUAUGAUAUUUGACAUAUAGAGAUGAUAUUUCUCCAUAGUUAUGAUAUGUGGACUAUAGAUGCGAUAUGUCUUAUAGAUAUGAUAUCUGUCUCCUAGAUAUGAGAUGCUUAUUGAUAUAUUGUGCCUCCUAGAUGUGAGAUGCUUAUUUAUACAUUAUGCCUCCUAGAUGUGAUAUGGUUAUUGAUAUAUUAUGUCUCCUAGAUACGAGAUGCUUCAUAUAUGUGAGAUGGUUAUAGAUAUGUUUUAUGGCUUAUAAAGAUAUUAUGCCCUAUGAAUAUUCUAUGGCUUAUAGAUUUGAGAUGAUUUAUGGACAUGAUUAUUGAUAUGGGUUCCAGAUAUAUCUAUGGGUCAAAGGUCGUGAUUAUGAGGUCGUAAUUAUUUCAUAAAUAUUAUUGGGCCCAAGGUCGUGUUAUGAUAUGAGUUGACUAUCCAGGAAGUGUUUAUCCUUUUAAAGGAUGUGAUUUUAGUUUAUUGAUAUAAUGUAUUUAUCCUUGUAAAGGAUGUGAUUGUAGUUUAUUGAUAUAUUAAUGCUUAUGGUUCCAUUGUAUGAAUACUGGUGAUGGCAUACAUAGAUUUGGUACAUUUAUAAGCUGGAAAGAUCAUUGAUACAGUUCCAAUUAUAUUAUAAUCUUAUUGUUGUUGUAACUAAUUAAGGGUUAAAGACCACUUUUUACCUUAAAAUGGAUUUCUUAAUAAUAAUAAUAAAUGCAUGUUUUAAUAAUAACUUAGAUGUAAAAGAGAUUAAUAAUGAUGUUUUAAAAACUUGACCAAGAUAGAUUUCGGUCUAUGAUUUGUAUUACUAAUUAUUUUGGUCGUGAAAGACUCCGACCCUUUCUACACUUUCAUAAUGAUUUGCUACAGAGGCCACUCCAGUAAAUAAACUUACAUAUUUACACUUUUUUUAGCCACCGAUUGAGUUCGUGCACCCAUCAUAUCUAGAUACAUAUCUCUUUCGUAUGGGACAACAGAAGAUGCUAGAUUGAUAACAUAACUUUUAGGUAAAACCCAAUGACAAAUUUUAGUAUUGAUUUUAUAUAUAUGUGUAUGUGUGUUGAUGAUUAUGAUGAUACUAAUUAUAUACCCUGGAUGGCCGGAAGAUGACUAUAAUGAUAUGCUUAUAUACCUGGCAAGGCCAGAGGAUACUAUAAUCAUGAUGUUGAUAUCUGACAAGAUCAGAGGAUAUUGUAAUGAUGAUUAUUAAUACCCAUAAAGGCUAGAAUAUGAUUAUAUUUAUGUGCCUAGGUGUACAUCUACCGGUUUGAGUCUGGCUAUCCCUAUAUAUAUACCCGACAAGGUCGGAGAAUGGUUAUGAUGAUGAUGGUUAUGAUGACGAUUGUUAAGAUGAUGAUAUUUGGAGCAGUUAUGGUAUUGUGGAUUCUAAUGCAUUCAUUCGUACAUGUGUCUUGCCUAUUACCAAUAAGCGCUUAUAUCUAUCAGCUCAUAUGAGGGGCUGCAUAGGUAUGGGUGAUGAUUAUACUUUGUGGUAUGUUGUAUGUUGAUUGAACCUUCUGAUCCUGGGACGGUGGGGUCACGUGAUAGGCUCAACUAGGUAUUUGAUUGUACGGCUUGUAUAGUUAUAUGUAUCUUCUUUCCUUUCUUACUUGCAUACUAGCCAGUGAUAUACGAUAUAGUAUUGAGAUUCCUAAGUAUGGCUGGAAUAGGAUAGUGCAUUCUUACUACUUCCUUAGACUUAAUACAAUAGUCUCUUGGGCAUGAAUAGGAUAGUUUAUCCUUAUUAUCUUAUUGGUUAUCUUGUAUGAUUGCUGGAUAUUUGGGUGUAGUUUGUCAUUCUAUUUAUAUAUUAUAUAUAUAUCUACUUUAUCUUUGGAGCUCAGUCGGUAGUUGCCUAUUGAGUGUCGCGUGUUUGAUACUCAUACUACACUUUUGUAGCCUACAGAUCAUAAUACAAGUUAUCAUCAUUGAUGUAUGUGUCAUGAGAAGCACCAAUGAUUCGGAGACUUAGAGUGAGCUCCUGACAUUCGGAGUAUUACUUAUCUUUCUCUUAUGUAUUAGACUAGUCUCUAUACUAUAUUCAGAUAUAAGUUAUAUCAAUGUAUUCACUUGUUGUCACUUUGAAAUCCUAUUGUGUAGAAGCUCUUGUACUGAUACCAUCAGGUUUUGGGAUUAUAUUAUGUAUUUAAUUUGAUAUUAUAUCAUUUUCACGUUCUUUUCUUUAUCUCUUUGGUAGUUCGUUUCUAGUUGUUCCAGACUAUGGAUUUUGCUUGCCUACUAGUGGAUCAUAGUAGGUUCCAUCACGAUCCAAGAAAUUGAUUUGUGAUACCCACAUGCAGAUGAAAAAUCCACUGAUUGAUCAACGAGAAUCUAGCCAAGAUACAUAAUUCGUUUCACAAAAUGCAUUAAGAGAGAACGAUGGAUAUGCAAAUAAGAAAAUCCCUUAAUAAGAAUGUCCUUUCAGGUAAAGCAAUACUCUUAGAGAUACUGUAAAAUGUAAUUCAUAUGAAUUUUACAUAUAUUGACUUAAUGACAAUAUCGCGUAGGACAGAUAUGGCCUGGUAUGAGUUACCUAAUUAGAUGCAUGUAAAUA